AAGAAAUAGUAAAUAAAUAUAUUUUUGCACAGAGAAUUAAGGAUGCUGAGAACUUAAUAAAAAGUAUUUAUUGAAUGGGUCUUUGAGGAGUAAAAUGAAAUGUAAUUUAAGAUUACAGAGUAUUUGAUAUCGUGUAUGCACGUUAUAGCAUAUAUUAAGAUAUAUAUAUUCAAUUUUGAGUGUAUAUAAAUUUAGGUGGUACCACGGAAAAUAUAUCCGUCCUAUUGAUUUAGGACGGAUUUUUUAAUAUAGAAAA
rnacentral:misc_RNA from 2 species